AGUGCAGUGCCGGAGGAAACGGAUUAUGUUGAUGUCAUAAAUUAUGUAUUAUUAGUACCUGUGCUU
rnacentral:tRNA from 1 species